rnacentral:rRNA from 1 species
GCGGGGAAUCUUCCGCAAUGGGCGAAAGCCUGACGGAGCAACGCCGCGUGAAUGAAGAAGGCCUUCGGGUCGUAAAGUUCUGUCUUUUGGGAAGAAGGCUCUUUCUGUGAAUAAUGGGAGGAGAUGACGGUACCAAAGGAGGAAGCUCCGGCUAACUACGUGCCAGCAGCCGCGGUAAUACGUAGGGAGCAAGCGUUGUCCGGAAUUACUGGGCGUAAAGGGCGCGUAGGCGGGUAUUUAAGUCAGAUGUGAAAACUUUAGGCUCAACCUGGAGACUGCAUUUGGAACUGGAUAUCUUGAGGGCAAGGGAGGAAAGUGGAAUUCCUAGUGUAGCGGUGAAAUGCGUAGAUAUUAGGAGGAACACCAGUGGCGAAGGCGACUUUCUGGACUGUACCUGACGCUGAGGCGCGAAAGCGUGGGGAGCGAACGGGAUUAGAUACCCCUGUAGUCC